rnacentral:rRNA from 1 species
UGGGGAAUUUUGGACAAUGGACGAAAGUCUGAUCCAGCAAUGCCGCGUGCAGGACGAAGGCCUUCGGGUUGUAAACUGCUUUUGUACGGAACGAAACGGUCUGCUUUAAUACAGUGGGCUAAUGACGGUACCGUAAGAAUAAGCACCGGCUAACUACGUGCCAGCAGCCGCGGUAAUACGUAGGGUGCGAGCGUUAAUCGGAAUUACUGGGCGUAAAGCGUGCGCAGGCGGUUAUAUAAGACAGAUGUGAAAUCCCCGGGCUCAACCUGGGACCUGCAUUUGUGACUGUAUAGCUAGAGUACGGUAGAGGGGGAUGGAAUUCCGCGUGUAGCAGUGAAAUGCGUAGAUAUGCGGAGGAACACCGAUGGCGAAGGCAAUCCCCUGGACCUGUACUGACGCUCAUGCACGAAAGCGUGGGGAGCAAACAGGAUUAGAUACCCCCGUAGUCCCUGAGCGGGCUGGCAAGGCGCAU